rnacentral:rRNA from 1 species
AAUCAACGCUGGCGGCGUGCCUCAGACAUGCAAGUCGAACGAUUAAAGCUCUCUUCGGAGAGUGUAUAGAGUGGCGCACGGGUGAGUAACACGUAAGUAAUCUACCUUUGAGUGGGGAAUAACAGUCGGAAACGACUGCUAAUACCGCAUAAUGCAGCGGCAUCGCAAGAUGACAGUUGUUAAAGGAGCAAUCCGCUUAAAGAGGAGCUUGCGGCAGAUUAGCUUGUUGGUAAGGUAACGGCUUACCAAGGCUACGAUCUGUAUCCGGUCUAAGAGGACGGUCGGACACACUGACACUGAAUAACGGGUCAGACUCCUACGGGAGGCAGCAGUCGGGAA